rnacentral:lncRNA from 10 species
AAAGACUCUGGGGGUGCCUCAGCCCUCCUCAUCACACGUGACUGGUGACUUCUGUGUCCACCCGCACAAUAAGAGGGAUCUUCUCUCACUUUCAGGCAAGCCCAAGAAAGUCAGGGGCCUAUGUGAGCCAAAGAGGAGAGAAGGUGAUGCCUCAGCCCAGUGUUUCUGCCCCACCUCGCUUGUGGCCUUCGGAACUUGAUUUGCACCGCAGGAAAAUGGGCAAUGAAAACCCCUCCCUAACUGGCUUCUCAGUCCACUCUGACCAGCCCACUGCACAGCGCCCACCCUGCAGCUCCAGAUGAGGCCUCACUCUGUCACCCAGGUUGGGGUGGAGUGGCACAGUCACAGCUCACUAUAACCUCAAGCUCCUGGGCUCAAGUGAUCCUGCCACCUCAGCCUCCUAAGUAGCU